AUACAUGCAGUCGAGCGAAUGAUGAGGAGCUUGCUUCUCUGAUUUAGCGGCGGACGGGUGAGUAACACGUGGGCAACCUGCCCUGUACACUGGGAUAACUUCGGGAAACCGGAGCUAAUACCGGAUAAUUCUUUUAGCCUCAUGGCUUUAAGCUAAAAGGCGCUUCGGCGUCACUACAGGAUGGGCCCGCGGUGCAUUAGCUAGUUGGUGGGGUAACGGCCUACCAAGGCAACGAUGCAUAGCCGACCUGAGAGGGUGAUCGGCCACAUUGGGACUGAGACACGGCCCAAACUCCUACGGGAGGCAGCAGUAGGGAAUCUUCCACAAUGGACGAAAGUCUGAUGGAGCAACGCCGCGUGAGUGAUGAAGGUUUUCGGAUCGUAAAACUCUGUUGUAAGGGAAGAACAAGUGCGUUAGGUAAUGAACGCACCUUGACGGUACCUUAUUAGAAAGCCACGGCUAACUACGUGCCAGCAGCCGCGGUAAUACGUAGGUGGCAAGCGUUGUCCGGAUUUAUUGGGCGUAAAGCGCGCGCAGGUGGUUUCUUAAGUCUGAUGUGAAAGCCCACGGCUCAACCGUGGAGGGUCAUUGGAAACUGGGAGACUUGAGUGCAGAAGAGGAUAGUGGAAUUCCAAGUGUAGCGGUGAAAUGCGUAGAGAUUUGGAGGAACACCAGUGGCGAAGGCGACUGUCUGGUCUGUAACUGACACUGAGGCGCGAAAGCGUGGGGAGCAAACAGGAUUAGAUACCCUGGUAGUCCACGCCGUAAACGAUGAGUGCUAAGUGUUAGGGGGUUUCCGCCCCUUAGUGCUGCAGCUAACGCAUUAAGCACUCCGCCUGGGGAGUACGACCGCAAGGUUGAAACUCAAAGGAAUUGACGGGGGCCCGCACAAGCGGUGGAGCAUGUG
rnacentral:rRNA from 1 species